UACGGGGGGGGGCAAGCGUUGUUCGGAAUUACUGGGCGUAAAGGGCUCGUAGGCGGCCAACUAAGUCAGACGUGAAAUCCCUCGGCUUAACCGGGGAACUGCGUCUGAUACUGGAUGGCUUGAGUUCGGGAGAGGGAUGUGGAAUUCCAGGUGUAGCGGUGAAAUGCGUAGAUAUCUGGAGGAACACCGGUGGCGAAGGCGGCAUCCUGGACCGACACUGACGCUGAUGAGCGAAAGCCAGGGGAGCAAACGGG
rnacentral:rRNA from 1 species